rnacentral:siRNA from 1 species
UAGCGUAUAUUUAAGUUGUUGC